rnacentral:rRNA from 1 species
AGGGAUAUUGGUCAAUGGGGGAAACCCUGAACCAGCAACGCCGCGUGAGGGAAGACGGUUUUCGGAUUGUAAACCUCUGUCCUCUGUGAAGAUAAUGACGGUAGCAGAGGAGGAAGCUCCGGCUAACUACGUGCCAGCAGCCGCGGUAAUACGUAGGGAGCAAGCGUUAUCCGGAUUUAUUGGGUUUAAAGGGUGCGUAGGCGGGCUUUUAAGUCAGCGGUAAAAAUUCGGGGCUCAACCCCGUCCGGCCGUUGAAACUGGGGGCCUUGAGUGGGCGAGAAGAAGGCGGAAUGCGUGGUGUAGCGGUGAAAUGCAUAGAUAUCACGCAGAACCCCGAUUGCGAAGGCAGCCUUCCGGCGCCCUACUGACGCUGAGGCACGAAAGUGCGGGGAUCGAACAGG